rnacentral:rRNA from 1 species
GACGUAGGGGGCCAGCGUUGUUCGGAAUUACUGGGUGUAAAGGGUUCGUAGGCGGUGCGGCAAGUUGGGAGUGAAAUCUCUGGGCUUAACCCAGAGGCUGCUUCCAAAACUGCUGUGCUUGAGUGUGGGAGAGGCGCGUGGAAUUGCAGGUGUAGCGGUGAAAUGCGUAGAUAUCUGCAGGAACACCCGUGGCGAAAGCGGCGCGCUGGACCACUACUGACGCUGAGGCGCGAAAGCCAGGGGAGCAAACGGG